rnacentral:rRNA from 1 species
CCCCUAGAUGUUCUGGGCCGCACGCGCGCUACACUGAACAGUUCAACAAGUCUUAACCUUGGCCGAUAGGUCUGGGUAAUCUUUGAACGCUGUUCGUGAUUGGGAUAGACCUUUGCAAUUAUGGGUCUUCAACGAGGAAUUCCUAGUAAACGCAAGUCAUCAGCUUGCAUUGAUUACGUCCCUGCCCUUUGUACACACCGCCCGUCGCUACUACCGAUUGAACGUUUUAGUGGGGUAUUUGGACUGGACCUUCGGAGGUUCGCGCCUCCGUUGCUGUUCGGGAAGACUCCCAAACUUGAGCGUUUAGAGGAAGUAAAAGUCGUAACA